rnacentral:rRNA from 1 species
CAACAGCUCAAAUUUGAAAUCUGGCCUCUUCGGGGUCCGAGUUGUAAUUUGUAGAGGGUGUUUCGGGCGCGAUGCCGGUCUAAGUUCCUUGGAACAGGACGUCGUAGAGGGUGAGAAUCCCGUAUGCGACCGGCAAUCAAGCCUGUGUGAAGCCCCUUCGACGAGUCGAGUUGUUUGGGAAUGCAGCUCAAAAUGGGUGGUAAAUUUCAUCUAAAGCUAAAUAUUGGCCAGAGACCGAUAGCGGACAAGUAGAGUGAUCGAAAGAUGAAAAGCACUUUGGAAAGAGAGUCAAACAGUACGUGAAAUUGUUGAAAGGGAAGCGCUUGCAAUCAGACCGGUCCGGAGGCGAUCAGCCGCUGCUUGUCAGCGGUGCACUCGCCUGCGAUCCGGCCAGCAUCGGUUCGGGCGGUGGGAUAAAAGUCCCGGGAAUGUAGCUUCUUUCGGGGAGUCUUAUAGCCCGGGUCGCAAUGCCGCCCGUCCGGACCGAGGACCGCGCUUCGGCUAGGAUGCUGGCGUAAUGGUUGCAAGCG